UGUAUCUAGCUUCUUUGUGCCCAGAUUGGCAAGCUGAGUCAUAAUGACAGCAGUGAAUGCUAAAGAACUGGAUUCUGAGAACUCUGGAAUCCCUGAGGACAGCAGGAUGGAGAAUUCUUAUUAUGGGAUGGAGGGAAAUUAUUGCUAAGGGAACCCCAGUAAGAGUCAUCACACCCACAUUUCUGUCCACUACAUCCUUUCUGAGAUUCAAGUUAGAAGAUAACUCCUGGCUUUCCUGGGAGAAUGAGAAGCCAAUGUGCACCUUGAAGAUGCCUGUUGUAUGAGAAGACCUGGAGUUCAGUAUGAUUGAACCUCUGCUUCAACCUGCAGGAACUCUCAACUGUUGGCAACAGCUCCAGCGCCAGAAGCGCAAAGAAGUAGCCAGUUUCUGAAACAGGCAGCAAUUGUAAAAACUCCUGUUUCAAGAGGGCAAAUCUGAUUUCUUGCUCCAGAGAAGAAGCAAGCAGCCAAGCUUGGCACUGUAGACGUGAAGAAAGCAGUGUCUUCUCACUGCGUCCAGGAAGGAGUCACAGGUGUCAGUCCCCUGGAAUCAACAGUCUAGCUGUUUGUCAUGAGAAUCAACAACAGAAAAGUAUCGAAUUUCAAUAAGAAAAUUGGAAUGGAUGGACCAGAGAAUCUUGCCUUUCCAUGUAAAAAUCGCAGUACCAUAGGAAAAAACUCAGAAAUGACUGGAGGGGGACACUUUGAUGUGAAAUAAUCUUUAACAAGUAGGAUGGUGGGUGCUCAUUCUGUAAUAACGUUGUAAAGGAAGCAUAAGGAGGCCAGGUUGCUGCUAUCAGCAGGUGAGGCCAAUAACCAAGAUGUUAUACUUAGAUAUCCAUAAUCAGUCAAUUGAAUAAGCUGAACUUGGUAAGAUGUGAGCAAAAACCUACUGUGUUCUUUGGCAUCACUUUUCUUUGAAUUUCUCUCUUGAUUUAUUCCUCCUUGUCUGCAAUUAAAUCUCAGGAAGUUCUCAUAGUUUCAUAAACUUUGUUACUAAACAAAUAGCCUUUGCCCCAUA